rnacentral:lncRNA from 1 species
GUUUCAGUUUAUUCAAACAAAUAUUUUUGGUCGAAUUUUACAGUGAAUAACAUGCCACUGUUGAGCCCAUUUUAACGUCGAUCAUGAUUUUUUUCUGCAGACUUUGAUGCUGUCAGAGGACUCGAGCAAUGUGCACAACCUCAACGGCUUCAUCUGCUUUACGGUGAAUUUCCUUUGCUUGUCGGCUACCUUCCCUUUUGCUUCUUUCAUUCUGGCAAAGAUAGGAUCAGUCGGGGGCAUCAUCGUUGGUGCAUUCGGUGAUUUACUAUACAACGCCGCAUUUUAUUUCGACACCCCGUGGAUAGUUUAUGGUCUAUGUGCAGUGAGUGGAGUUACGCAUGCCAUUUUGCGGACGGGCCAAGGAGUAUACCUGAUGGAAAACUCGAGGCCACACACGCUUCAAAGGGAUAACACCCUGUUUUGGUGGAUGCAGCUUGCGUCGCAACUAAUCGGUCAAAUCAUCCUGCUACUCUUGCUGAGGGCGACGAAAAUCAUCGACCAUGACACUCGAAUCCUAAUCCUGGACGUCACAGUGGCAAUCAACUUGUUCGGUUUCUCUUGGCACUUUUAUUAGUCGCCCCUCCGUGGACCCUGAUCUGCAAAAGGCCCCAGCACCGGUCGAGCUCCGACAGGAGAUCCGUAAAACGUUGGAAGUCUUCAUGGACUCCCGCAUGCUCCUUCUAUUCCAUCCUCUAUUUUUACCGGUUAGUCACUCACGUCUGACUGAUUGAGCACGGAA